rnacentral:lncRNA from 1 species
GGGGGCUGGGAAAGUUGAGGCCGCGCUGCCGCCGGGUCUCCGGCCUUGAGGGCUCGGGCUCGCAACGGCGGCGGCGGCGGCCGCAGGAAGAGGCAGCGGGGGGGGGGGGAGAGGAGGGCUUGGGCCCACGCUCCCCAGCCCCGGAGGAGCAGGCGGCGGCCGCGGACCGAGGGAUUCGCCGGGGCAGUCAGACAUCCCUGCCUUCCCCGCCUGGGAUCAUGACCCAGGCGGGGAUCGCCGUCGCCGCCGCCACCAGCGCGGCCGAGACCGCGCAGCCGGCGGUUAGAGGAAAACAUAACCUAUAGACCAUCUUCUGGCAGAAGAUGAUAGAUUUGGAUCAGAAAGCGGGAGGUGUUGGAAGCCAGGAAUCAAAAGUGAAGAAAUUCUGCAAACCCUUGGGUGAAAAAGAAAGAAAUCAUUGUUCUAGUUUAAAUUUUGAAUGACACUUCAGUGUCAUAAACAAAAAAAUAUACUCUGCAAACUCAAGUUCCUAUUACUGUAACCAUGCCAGAAAUGACAGAGAAUGAGACGCCUACAAAAAAGCAGCACAGGUAUGUAUUCCCAGUCCAGAAAUAAUAUAUAUACAGUUUGGGCUGGUAAGAAGCAGAAGUAGUUCCCAUUUAGCUAAGUAGACAGUCCUUAGUGCACUUUCAUGUAGA